CUACGCCAGACAGGACAGCAGUGGCUCCCAAAUCCAAACCUAUUCCUUCCCAUCCACACCACUGCUGGUCCCAGGCCUUGGUUCUUUUGACCUUUGAGACAUCACUGUCCUCGCCAUGGCCCAGUCUUCAGUUCUAUGUCUACAACUUCAAGAACUUUCGUCUAUGGUGCCAAACUAAACAACAGAGACAAGAUGUGUAGGAGUGCAAGGGCUUCCCAGACGCUUGCAGGUAAAAGCUAAAUGCAAGAAGACUCCGUAAGACAUUGAGAGGGGAGCAUGCAGGGCAGAUUGCACAGACGCCGCACCGGGGCCAUCCCCUUGGCGAGGCACACCUAGACCAAGCCCGCUGUUGGCGUUCAUCUCAACGCGGCGGGCAGCCCAGAGCUGUUUCACGUGCUAGCCCCCGGCUAGCGGCAGGCAGGUCAGGUCACUGGGGAAGAGUCCUGUGUCAUUAGGACCUAGCAGAGAGGACCUAACACAAGGAAUCAGGCAGUCGAGGUCUGAAAAGACAAACGCGACACCGACGCAACAGAGGAACAGGAACUGCAGGACGCGGCUCUCAGCCUGGAGUAGGGGAAGAAGCAGAGAGGCCGGGCUGUCGGAGCUGGGUAACUUGGAUGAAGGGGCUCCCGAAGCUGGGCUCUCACUUGUGCUGCUGCCGGGGCGAACGACCACUGCUGGCGUGGUGCUGCCAGGAACACGAAGACUAGCAAAGCAGCAAGUCUCGUGCCUCCCCUCCAGCCUCUCCUCUCUUUCUAACACCCUUUGUGGAAGAAGCUCGUACACAGCGAGAAAACCAGCGGAGACGUGCAGAGUCCUCACUCUCGCAUCAACAGCAGACCAGAGAGGGUGAGUGCGCCUGGACACCUCCCGUCGCACCCCUCCUCACACACCCUUCUCUACGGUGUCUUUGCUUGAAAUCAAGUUUCAUUCUUUCAAUUAAUGCAUAUCAGGUGCAUCUUAUGUUCCAGCCAUGGUGAGGGUGAUUCCAGUUCAUACUCUCAUGGGUACUUGUUGGUGGGAAAUUAAAAACAUUAACAGAUUAAAAAGUGAGCAUAUAAAAUUUAAAUAAACAUAUCAAGUAGUAGUAAAUGCUAUAAG